rnacentral:rRNA from 1 species
CAGUCGCCGCGGUAAUACGGAGGGUGCAAGCGUUAAUCGGAAUUACUGGGCGUGAAGCGUGCGCAGGCGGUUUGUUAAGACAGAUGUGAAAUCCCCGGGCUCAACCUGGGAACUGCAUUUGUGACUGGCAAGCUAGAGUAUGGCAGAGGGGGGUGGAAUUCCGCGUGUAGCAGUGAAAUGCGUAGAUAUGCGGAGGGACACCGAUGGCGAAGGCAGCCCCCUGGGCCAAUACUGACGCUCAUGCACGAAAGCGUGGGGAGCAAACAGGAUUAGAUACCCCCGUAGUCCCUGUCUCUUAUAC